AGAUUGCUUGCAAUUUAUGAUGGCGACCGGCGCACGGGUGAGUAACGCGUAUCCAACCUACCCAUUACUAGGGAAUAACCCAGCGAAAGUUGGCCUAAUGCCCUAUGUAGUCGUUUGAUCGCCUGAGAUUUCGACGAAAGAUUUAUCGGUAUUGGAUGGGGAUGCGUCUGAUUAGCUUGUUGGCGGGGUAAAGGCCCACCAAGGCAACGAUCAGUAGGGGUUCUGAGAGGAAGGUCCCCCACAUUGGAACUGAGACACGGUCCAAACUCCUACGGGAGGCAGCAGUGAGGAAUAUUGGUCAAUGGGCGAGAGCCUGAACCAGCCAAGUAGCGUGCAGGAUGACGGCCCUAUGGGUUGUAAACUGCUUUUAUAUGGGAAUAAAGUGAGGGACGUGUCCCUUAUUGCAUGUACCAUACGAAUAAGGACCGGCUAAUUCCGUGCCAGCAGCCGCGGUAAUACGGAAGGUCCAGGCGUUAUCCGGAUUUAUUGGGUUUAAAGGGAGCGUAGGCUGUUUGUUAAGCGUGUUGUGAAAUGUAGGAGCUCAACUUUUAGAUUGCAGCGCGAACUGGCAGACUUGAGUGCGCACAACGUAGGCGGAAUUCAUGGUGUAGCGGUGAAAUGCUUAGAUAUCAUGAC
rnacentral:rRNA from 1 species